rnacentral:rRNA from 1 species
UACAGAGGUCUCAAGCGUUGUUCGGAUUCAUUGGGCGUAAAGGGUGCGUAGGCGGCGCGGUAAGUCGGGUGUGAAAUCUCGGGGCUUAACUCCGAAACUGCAUUCGAUACUGCCGUGCUUGAGGACUGGAGAGGAGACUGGAAUUUACGGUGUAGCGGUGAAAUGCGUAGAUAUCGAGAGGAACACCUGCGGCGAAGGCGGGUUGCUGGGCUGACACUGACGCUGAACUGCGAAAGCUAGGGGAGCGAACGGG